AUCCCAUUUUGAUUUGCAGCAUUUUUGCCAGUAACCAUCAUCCUCAACAAGUGAAGCGGUGACCCUUAACAAGAUGGUUAUAUGCUGGAGUUCAUUUAGGGUGGGUUUCUCUGAAAAAGAAAUGGUGUAUUUAAUGAUAUAUAGAAUCUGUGGAUGCUAAUGUAUGCAAUAUACUAUGCAUAUUUUUUUGAAAUGUUGGUUGCGCAGUUUGUACACUUUCCAGUCAGGAUCAGACGCAGGAUUCGCAUUUUGGUCAACAAUCUAGUUGGAAAUAAAUUUAUAGAAGGAAAAUUGAUUUAACCUGACAUGAUGUGGUUAAAAUGAAAAAG